UACAGAGGUCCCAAGCGUUGUUCGGAUUCACUGGGCGUAAAGGGUGCGUAGGUGGCUACUUUAGUUUUGAUGUGAAAGCCCCGGGCUCAACCCGGAAAUGGCAUUGAAGACUAUUGAGCUAGAGGUUUGGAGGGGGGACUGGAAUGCUUGGUGUAGCAGUGAAAUGCGUAGAUAUCAAGCGGAACACCGGUGGCGAAGGCGAGUCCCUGGACAACACCUGACACUGAGGCACGAAAGCUAGGGGAGCAAACAGG
rnacentral:rRNA from 1 species